CGGCCCUCGUGUGCCUGCUGCCCAUCCCUGCCCUCGGCUAUUCUGGGCCUCACAGCCCACCGCGGUAUUUAUACUGACAGAGGAAGAACGGGGGGAGAGGAAGAAAGAAAGACAGUGAUGGAAAAUAGAGAUGAAGCAUGUCGGAGAGGGAGAGAGGUGAAAAACAGUCAAGCGUGGUGUUGAUGUUUAUAGAGAUGAUAUAUGCAUGCAGUAGGAGACGAAAAAGGGAAAGAAGUUAGAAGUGGAUGCAAAAGGAUAUCGACAGAGGAGGGCAGGGGUGAUCAUGAGUAUUAACCCAGCGGGAGAAUGCAAGAAACAGGUGGAAAAAGAUGGGCGAAAAAAUAGAAUGGGAGGACAUCACUGGAAGUUGCCAUUUCAUAACCACCCAUUGAAAUUGAUGCUCAUUGCUAUACCUGGAAAACUUGGAGGGAAGCAGAGGGCUAAUCAGACAUUAGGUGCAUUAAAGGAUUGAGGCAGUCCGGUGGUUUUGGGUCUGCAGACGUGACUUCACCUGAGACGGUAGGUGUGGCCGCGGGUGUUAACAAGACAUGAUGAGAAUAUAUACCUAACGGCGAUGACGUGAUUGCAGCGGCACGGCAUGCAUGUGCAAAGAUGAGAGGAGAGGAUAUAGAAGUUGAAUUGUUUCCAAGAGAGUAACUGUCUACACACCUGAUUUUUUUAACAGGUGAGUUUUUGAUGUGAUUCCAUUCCAUAUUGUUUAAUCUGGUGCCACCUGCUGGCAAAACGAUGUCAUAACACAAUGGGACAGUGCCGGUGAACAAUGCCAGUACUAUUUUAGGGGAGGUAAAGACUCAUUCUGUCUGACACUUAAAGCUGUCCCAGCAUUGCAGCGAUUACAUUACAACAUGGAAGUGUAGUAGGAAUCUCACUGGACUGCAGUAUUAAGAUUAGAACGCAGUAAAGUGUUUAAAACCAGGAAAACCCUCACAUACGCAACCCACCCCCAAACACACACAGACACACAGACACACACACGCGCACAUAAACACUGACACACACAUGCGCACGUGCACACACACACACACACACACACCCACGCACACACCCACACCCAGACACACACACACAAACACUUUCUUUCCUUCUUUUUCUUAUGCUAUUCUCUCCUAAUUUUCCCCUCUUUAGUAAUUUCUUGCUCUUAUGCUCUCCCCUUUUCCCCAUGUGUCUUUCAGGCUUGUUAAUGUGUAACCUGAUCAUUAUAACAAUGCAGUUAAACUGCAAUUUGCAAAUUAGUUCCCAUAUAUAAAGAGUUUUUAAAAGGCAGUAUUUACCUCAAAUGAUGUGGAUUGAAACCAUUGGUCUGAAGCUUUUAUGACAGCCGUUUUGUAAUGCACUGUAAAAUCACAUAUACACACAUACAGUGUUCUGUAACUGCUGUUAUUUGCAUAUUAAUGCUUUGUAAGGAA